UGAGAUCUGGAUGGUAAGCUGAUGGAACGAGAAUGAGCACUAACUUUUGUGGUUGCAAUUGAGGCUGCCAUUUUUAUUUGCAGGAGGAAUUAGAUGCCAAUGAAAAUCCUGAACUCAAGGUUUGUUUGAUUGAACUCUCACCUUGGCACCUUUUUAUAAACUAUGAGGAGACAAAAGGAAUCAACUUAAUUUCCUUCAUGUGCCGAACAGAGAAACAGGCCAAGGUAACUAGGGGCUGAGGGCAAAACAGGCUAGAAUAGGGAUUAGUGACUCGGGUUGACCUAGCAAUGCAGUUUGUAAAAUUUUGUGUGUGAUUACUAUAUUAUAGUUUGAUUAUAUAUCUGGAUGAUCUGAAUUUUAAAGCUAUUUGCACUCAAAUCGCAAUUAAUCUUCUGUGUAUGUUUAUAUUAAUAUGAAUUGCCACCCGGAUCCGGUCUACUUCUAGUUUACAUUAGAUAGAUAAUUACAGUAUUGAUUGCGAGAAAAGAAUUGGGGACGGGUAUAACUCCUUUUUUUGACCCUGCACUGCGUUCUUAUUUGCGGUUUUGGGAUAUGUGAUGGGUAUGAGAAGGAUCCUGUUGCAGAAAUAUAUAUAUUUUGCAAAUUGUGUUGUUGAUGAAAUAUACGCGAAACCGAAUAUUGACUUUAAACAGUUGUUUUCGCAAUCUUUCUCGUUGAUAAUAUACUAGCUUCACAUACAGUCUGUACUCAUGUAUGUACAAAAACUGAUCCCUCACAAAAAUUCGGGGAUGCAGUAAUAGUCUAUCUAAUAGACAAUUCUGUUGGAAAAGAACUAGUGGUUGAGCACAUUGAGAAUUAAUACUCGUGUCUUGAUCAAUGAUCGGACUAGACAGUCUAAUUGUUCUUCACAUUCUUGCAUAUUCAUGUCCAAUGCCGUCAGACAUUUCUGAACGUCUUCUGUUUCUGUGAUAUCACUUUUUUUGCUUGAUUUCUUGCUGAUAGCUUCUAAAGCCAUAUCCAUGUUGUGAACUUGGUUGAUAAUUUCUUCUGUGUCCUCUUCACAAUGUACACGCUUGGACUGUGUUGACUUGAAAACCUUUGACCAUGUGCUUUUUGUCGAUGCUUCCUUUGCAGGACAGAUGGAUGAGAAGAUAGACUCGAAAACUGAGAUGCUGACUUCUUCGACUUCCCUUAGAAGGCUCACGAUAGCAGGAGUCUCGAUGCUUUUGUUAAUUUUGGACUUCUUAGAACCAGCAAAGCACUUGGAGAGCAUUCUGUUUGCCUUUUUCUUACAUACCAGGUAGCUUGCGAUUCUGCUUGAUACAUCAGUUUGUCUUCUACGUAGAGAGGAUUCUAGAUCUUGAACUGAAUCUCUCAUAUGCGAGAGAGCAUCUUUUGAGGUGCUGCACAGAUCCAAUAACCUAAUGGACCCGCAAAGAAUAUCUUCUCCGCAGCUCAAACGAUCUUGCUGUGCGGCUUGCGAUUGGAUCAAAUCUUCUACACACUCAUAUAAGUCUUGAAGAGCGGAUAAUUUGUCGCAUUUGGAUACUGUCGAUGAGGAUGCCCCUUCCGGGGUCCUUAAUCUGCACAAGUGCUCCUCAACAGUGGCUGUCAAGGGAUGAGAUCUGGAUGGUAAGCUGAUGGAACGAGAAUGAGCACUAACUUUUGUGGUUGCAAUUGAGGCUGCCAUUUUUAUUUGCAGGAGGAAUUAGAUGCCAAUGAAAAUCCUGAACUCAAGGUUUGUUUGAUUGAACUCUCACCUUGGCACCUUUUUAUAAACUAUGAGGAGACAAAAGGAAUCAACCUAAUUUCCUUCAUGUGCUGAACAGAGAAACAGGCCAAGUAUCAGAAAAUGCAGAUCUCAAUUGUAGCAGUGUCUGUGGGAGGAGGAACAUUUGCUUGGCACAAAAUAAUAUAAUAUGCAAGAAACCAGGCUGGCGUUCAUCUGCAAAUUUUGGUAAGUUUUCUAAUAUGAAAACAAGUUAAGACCAGGGGUAUAAUUUUGCAUCUCAUGUGUUAUAUAUUAAAGUUGUCUUGAAAUUCAUAUACAUUGCAUUAUUUUUUGCAUCUUGUUGUUAGACAUGUUGUAUAUUAUUGUUAAGUAAAACAGCGCAUGAAUGGCUUGGCAUUUUUUUUAUGCAUAGAAUUAGUGAGGGCCUUUAUUGCUCCAUUCGGUCUCUAGCGAUGCAGAGCUGAACACUUGAGAUCUGUCAUUAUGUGUACUGGGUAGACAGAAGGAAUCUGAACAGCCUGCAGUCAGUUUGCAAGAACCAUUAAGGUGUGACUAGGUGUCCUGGUAACUAGGGGCUGAGGGCAAAACAGGCUAGAAUAGGGAUUAGUGACUCGGGUUGACCGAGCAAUGCAGUUUGUAAAAUUUUGUGUGUGAUUACUAUAUUAUAGUUUGAUUAUAUAUCUGGAUGAUCUGAAUUUUAAAGCUACUUGCACUCAAAUCGCAAUUAAUCUUCUGUGUAUGUUUAUAUUAAUAUGAAUUGCCACCCGGAUCCGGUCUACUUCUAGUUCACAUUAGAUAGAUAAUUACAGUAUUGAUUGCCAGAAAAGAAUUGGGGACGGGUAUAACUCCUUUUUUUGACCCUGCACUGCGUUCUUAUCUGCGGUUUUGGGAUAGUGUGAUGGGUAUGAGAAGGAUCCUGCUGCAGAAAUAUAUAUAUUUUGCAAAUUGUGUUGUUGAUGAAAUAUACGCGAAACUGAAUAUUGACUUUAAACAGUUGUUUUCGCAAUCUUUCUCGUUGAUAAUAUACUAGCUUCAUAUACAGUCUGUCCUCAUGUAUGUACAAAAACUGAUCCCUCACAAAAAUUCGGGGAUGCAGUAACAGUCUAUCUAAUAUACAGUUCUGUUGGAAAAGAACUAGUGGUUGAGCACAUUGAGAAUUAAUACUCGUGUCUUGAUCAAUGAUCGGACUAGACAGUCUAAUUGUUCUUCACAUUCUUGCAUAUUCAUGUCCAAUGCCGUCAGACAUUUCUGAACGUCUUGUGUUUCUGUGAUAUCACUUUUUUUGCUUGAUUUCUUGCUGAUAGCUUCUAAAGCCAUAUCCAUGUUGUGAACUUGGUUGAUAAUUUCUUCUGUGUCCUCUUCACAAUGUACACGCUUGGACUGUGUUGACUUGAAAACCUUUGACCAUGUGCUUUUUGUCGAUGCUUCCUUUGCAGGACAGAUGGAUGAGAAGAUAGACUCGAAAACUGAGAUGCUGACUUCUUCGACUUCCCUUAGAAGGCUCACGAUAGCAGGAGUCUCGAUGCUUUUGUUAAUUUUGGACUUCUUAGAACCAGCAAAGCACUUGGAGAGCAUUCUGUUUGCCUUUUUCUUACAUACCAGGUAGCUUGCGAUUCUGCUUGAUACAUCAGUUUGUCUUCUACGUAGAGAGGAUUCUAGAUCUUGAACUGAAUCUCUCAUAUGCGAGAGAGCAUCUUUUGAGGUGCUGCACAGAUCCAAUAACCUAAUGGACCCGCAAAGAAUAUCUUCUCCGCAGCUCAAACGAUCUUGCUGUGCGGCUUGCGAUUGGAUCAAAUCUUCUACACACUCAUAUAAGUCUUGAAGAGCGGAUAAUUUGUCGCAUUUGGAUACUGUCGAUGAGGAUGUCCCUUCCGGGGUCCUUAAUCUGCACAAGUGCUCCUCAACAGUGGCUGUCAAGAGAUGAGAUCUGGAUGGUAAGCUGAUGGAACGAGAAUGAGCACUAACUUUUGUGGUUGCAAUUGAGGCUGCCAUUUUUAUUUGCAGGAGGAAUUAGAUGCCAAUGAAAAUCCUGAACUCAAGGUUUGUUUGAUUGAACUCUCACCUUGGCACCUUUUUAUAAACUAUGAGGAGACAAAAGGAAUCAACUUAAUUUCCUUCAUGUGCCGAACAGAGAAACAGGCCAAGUAUCAGAAAAUGCAGAUCUCAAUUGUAGCAGUGUCUGUGGGAGGAGGAACAUUUGCUUGGCACAAAAUAAUAUAAUAUGCAAGAAACCAGGCUGGCGUUCAUCUGCAAAUUUUGGUAAGUUUUCUAAUAUGAAAACAAGUUAAGACCAGGGGUAUAAUUUUGCAUCUCAUGUGUCAUAUAUUAAAGUUGUCUUGAAAUUCAUAUACAUUGCAUUAUUUUUUGCAUCUUGUUGUUAGACAUGUUGUAUAUUAUUGUUAAGUAAAACAGCGCAUGAAUGGCUUGGCAUUUUUUUUAUGCAUAGAAUUAGUGAGGGCCUUUAUUGCUCCAUUCGGUCUCUAGCGAUGCAGAGCUGAACACUUGAGAUCUGUCAUUAUGUGUACUGGGUAGACAGAAGGAAUCUGAACAGCCUGCAGUCAGUUUGCAAGAACCAUUAAGGUGUGACUAGGUGUCCUGGUAACUAGGGGCUGAGGGCAAAACAGGCUAGAAUAGGGAUUAGUGACUCGGGUUGACCUAGCAAUGCAGUUUGUAAAAUUUUGUGUGUGAUUACUAUAUUAUAGUUUGAUUAUAUAUCUGGAUGAUCUGAAUUUUAAAGCUAUUUGCACUCAAAUCGCAAUUAAUCUUCUGUGUAUGUUUAUAUUAAUAUGAAUUGCCACCCGGAUCCGGUCUACUUCUAGUUUACAUUAGAUAGAUAAUUACAGUAUUGAUUGCCAGAAAAGAAUUGGGGACGGGUAUAACUCCUUUUUUUGACCCUGCACUGCGUUCUUAUUUGCGGUUUUGGGAUAGUGUGAUGGGUAUGAGAAGGAUCCUGCUGCAGAAAUAUAUAUAUUUUGCAAAUUGUGUUGUUGAUGAAAUAUACGCGAAACUGAAUAUUGACUUUAAACAGUGAAACCAGGCUGGCGUUCAUCUGCAAAUUUUGGUAAGUUUUCUAAUAUGAAAAUAAGUUAAGACCAGGGGUAUAAUUUUGCAUCUCAUGUGUCAUAUAUUAAAGUUGUCUUGAAAUUCAUAUACAUUGCUUUAUUUUUUGCAUCUUGUUGUUAGACAUGUUGUAUAUUAUUGUUAAGUAAAACAGCGCAUGAAUGGCUUGGCAUUUUUUUUAUGCAUAGAAUUAGUGAGGGCCUUUAUUGCUCCAUUCGGUCUCUAGCGAUGCAGAGCUGAACACUUGAGAUCUGCCAUUAUGUGUACUGGGUAGACAGAAGGAAUCUGAACAGCCUGCAAUCAGUUUGCAAGAACCAUUAAGGUGUGACUAGGUGUCCUGGUAACUAGGGGCUGAGGGCAAAACAGGCUAGAAUAGGGAUUAGUGACUCGGGUUGACCUAGCAAUGCAGUUUGUAAAAUUUUGUGUGUGAUUACUAUAUUAUAGUUUGAUUAUAUAUCUGGAUGAUCUGAAUUUUAAAGCUAUUUGCACUCAAAUCGCAAUUAAUCUUCUGUGUAUGUUUAUAUUAAUAUGAACUGCCACCCGGAUCCGGUCUACUUCUCGUUUACAUUAGAUAGAUAAUUACAGUAUUGAUUGCCAGAAAAGAAUUGGGGACGGGUAUAACUCCUUUUUUUGACCCUGCACUGCGUUCUUAUCUGCGGUUUUGGGAUAGUGUGAUGGGUAUGAGAAGGAUCCUGCUGCAGAAAUAUAUAUAUUUUGCAAAUUGUGUUGUUGAUGAAAUAUACGCGAAACUGAAUAUUGACUUUAAACAGUUGUUUUCGCAAUCUUUCUCGUUGAUAAUAUACUAGCUUCAUAUACAGUCUGUCCUCAUGUAUGUACAAAAACUGAUCCCUCACAAAAAUUCGGGGAUGCAGUAACAGUCUAUCUAAUAUACAGUUCUGUUGGGAAAGAACUAGUGGUUGAGCACAUUGAGAAUUAAUACUCGUGUCUUGAUCAAUGAUCGGACUAGACAGUCUAAUUGUUCUUCACAUUCUUGCAUAUUCAUGUCCAAUGCCGUCAGACAUUUCUGAACGUCUUGUGUUUGUGUGAUAUCACUUUUUUUGCUUGAUUUCUUGCUGAUAGCUUCUAAAGCCAUAUCCAUGUUGUGAACUUGGUUGAUAAUUUCUUCUGUGUCCUCUUCACAAUGUACACGCUUGGACUGUGUUGACUUGAAAACCUUUGACCAUGUGCUUUUUGUCGAUGCUUCCUUUGCAGGACAGAUGGAUGAGAAGAUAGACUCGAAAACUGAGAUGCUGACUUCUUCGACUUCCCUUAGAAGGCUCACGAUAGCAGGAGUCUCGAUGCUUUUGUUAAUUUUGGACUUCUUAGAACCAGCAAAGCACUUGGAGAGCAUUCUGUUUGCCUUUUUCUUACAUACCAGGUAGCUUGCGAUUCUGCUUGAUACAUCAGUUUGUCUUCUACGUAGAGAGGAUUCUAGAUCUUGAACUGAAUCUCUCAUAUGCGAGAGAGCAUCUUUUGAGGUGCUGCACAGAUCCAAUAACCUAAUGGACCCGCAAAGAAUAUCUUCUCCGCAGCUCAAACGAUCUUGCUGUGCGGCUUGCGAUUGGAUCAAAUCUUCUACACACUCAUAUAAAUCUUGAAGGGCGGAUAAUUUGUCGCAUUUGGAUACUGUCGAUGAGGAUGUCCCUUCCGGGGUCCUUAAUCUGCACAAGUGCUCCUCAACAGUGGCUGUCAAGAGAUGAGAUCUGGAUGGUAAGCUGAUGGAACGAGAAUGAGCACUAACUUUUGUGGUUGCAAUUGAGGCUGCCAUUUUUAUUUGCAGGAGGAAUUAGAUGCCAAUGAAAAUCCUGAACUCAAGGUUUGUUUGAUUGAACUCUCACCUUGGCACCUUUUUAUAAACUAUGAGGAGACAAAAGGAAUCAACCUAAUUUCCUUCAUUUGCUGAACAGAGAAAGAGGCCAAGUAUCAGAAAAUGCAGAUCUCAAUUGUAGCAGUGUCUGUGGGAGGAGGAACAUUUGCUUGGCACAAAAUAAUAUAAUAUGCAAGAAACCAGGCUGGCGUUCAUCUGCAAAUUUUGGUAAGUUUUCUAAUAUGAAAACAAGUUAAGACCAGGGGUAUAAUUUUGCAUCUCAUGUGUUAUAUAUUAAAGUUGUCUUGAAAUUCAUAUACAUUGCAUUAUUUUUUGCAUCUUGUUGUUAGACAUGUUGUAUAUUAUUGUUAAGUAAAACAGCGCAUGAAUGGCUUGGCAUUUUUUUUAUGCAUAGAAUUAGUGAGGGCCUUUAUUGCUCCAUUCGGUCUCUAGCGAUGCAGAGCUGAACACUUGAGAUCUGUCAUUAUGUGUACUGGGUAGACAGAAGGAAUCUGAACAGCCUGCAGUCAGUUUGCAAGAACCAUUAAGGUGUGACUAGGUGUCCUGGUAACUAGGGGCUGAGGGCAAAACAGGCUAGAAUAGGGAUUAGUGACUCGGGUUGACCCAGCAAUGCAGUUUGUAAAAUUUUGUGUGUGAUUACUAUAUUAUAGUUUGAUUAUAUAUCUGGAUGAUCUGAAUUUUAAAGCUAUUUGCACUCAAAUCGCAAUUAAUCUUCUGUGUAUGUUUAUAUUAAUAUGAAUUGCCACCCGGAUCCGGUCUACUUCUAGUUCACAUUAGAUAGAUAAUUACAGUAUUGAUUGCCAGAAAAGAAUUGGGGACGGGUAUAACUCCUUUUUUUGACCCUGCACUGCGUUCUUAUAUGCGGUUUUGGGAUAGUGUGAUGGGUAUGAGAAGGAUCCUGCUGCAGAAAUAUAUAUAUUUUGCAAAUUGUGGUGUUGAUGAAAUAUACGCGAAACUGAAUAUUGACUUUAAACAGUUGUUUUCGCAAUCUUUCUCGUUGAUAAUAUACUAGCUUCAUAUACAGUCUGUCCUCAUGUAUGUACAAAAACUGAUCCCUCACAAAAAUUCGGGGAUGCAGUAACAGUCUAUCUAAUAUACAGUUCUGUUGGGAAAGAACUAGUGGUUGAGCACAUUGAGAAUUAAUACUCGUGUCUUGAUCAAUGAUCGGACUAGACAGUCUAAUUGUUCUUCACAUUCUUGCAUAUUCAUGUCCAAUGCCGUCAGACAUUUCUGAACGUCUUGUGUUUCUGUGAUAUCACUUUUUUUGCUUGAUUUCUUGCUGAUAGCUUCUAAAGCCAUAUCCAUGUUGUGAACUUGGUUGAUAAUUUCUUCUGUGUCCUCUUCACAAUGUACACGCUUGGACUGUGUUGACUUGAAAACCUUUGACCAUGUGCUUUUUGUCGAUGCUUCCUUUGCAGGACAGAUGGAUGAGAAGAUAGACUCGAAAACUGAGAUGCUGACUUCUUCGACUUCCCUUAGAAGGCUCACGAUAGCAGGAGUCUCGAUGCUUUUGUUAAUUUUGGACUUCUUAGAACCAGCAAAGCACUUGGAGAGCAUUCUGUUUGCCUUUUUCUUACAUACCAGGUAGCUUGCGAUUCUGCUUGAUACAUCAGUUUGUCUUCUACGUAGAGAGGAUUCUAGAUCUUGAACUGAAUCUCUCAUAUGCGAGAGAGCAUCUUUUGAGGUGCUGCACAGAUCCAAUAACCUAAUGGACCCGCAAAGAAUAUCUUCUCCGCAGCUCAAACGAUCUUGCUGUGCGGCUUGCGAUUGGAUCAAAUCUUCUACACACUCAUAUAAGUCUUGAAGAGCGGAUAAUUUGUCGCAUUUGGAUACUGUCGAUGAGGAUGUCCCUUCCGGGGUCCUUAAUCUGCACAAGUGCUCCUCAACAGUGGCUGUCAAGGGAUGAGAUCUGGAUGGUAAGCUGAUGGAACGAGAAUGAGCACUAACUUUUGUGGUUGCAAUUGAGGCUGCCAUUUUUAUUUGCAGGAGGAAUUAGAUGCCAAUGAAAAUCCUGAACUCAAGGUUUGUUUGAUUGAACUCUCACCUUGGCACCUUUUUAUAAACUAUGAGGAGACAAAAGGAAUCAACCUAAUUUCCUUCAUGUGCUGAACAGAGAAACAGGCCAAGUAUCAGAAAAUGCAGAUCUCAAUUGUAGCAGUGUCUGUGGGAGGAGGAACAUUUGCUUGGCACAAAAUAAUAUAAUAUGCAAGAAACCAGGCUGGCGUUCAUCUGCAAAUUUUGG
rnacentral:lncRNA from 1 species